rnacentral:rRNA from 1 species
UACGUAGGGGGCAAGCGUUGUCCGGAAUUAUUGGGCGUAAAGGGCGUGUAGGCGGCCCGAUUAGUCCGCUGUGAAAGUCCAGGGCUCAACCCUGGAAUGCCGGUGGAUACUGUCGGGCUAGAGUCCGGAAGGGGCGAGUGGAAUUCCUGGUGUAGCGGUGAAAUGCGCAGAUAUCAGGAGGAACACCAAUGGCGAAGGCAGCUCGCUGGGACGUGACUGACGCUGAGACGCGAAAGCGUGGGGAGCGAACAGG